rnacentral:rRNA from 1 species
AGCGAACGCUGGCGGAAUGCUUAACACAUGCAAGUCGCACGGGCAGCAAUGUCAGUGGCGGACGGGUGAGUAACGCGUAGGAAUGUGUCCAGGGGUGGGGGAUAACGCCGGGAAACUGGCGCUAAUACCGCAUAUGAGCUGAGGCUCAAAGCCGUGAGGCGCCUUUGGAGCAGCCUGCGUCCGAUUAGCUUGUUGGUGAGGUAAAGGCUUACCAAGGCGACGAUCGGUAGCUGGUCUGAGAGGAUGAUCAGCCACACUGGGACUGAGACACGGCCCAGACUCCUACGGGAGGCAGCAGUGGGGAAUAUUGGACAAUGGGCGCAAGCCUGAUCCAGCAAUUCCGCGUGGGUGAAGAAGGUCUUCGGAUUGUAAAGCCCUUUCGGCAGGGACGAUGAUGACGGUACCUGCAGAAGAAGCCCCGGCUAACUUCGUGCCAGCAGCCGCAGUAACAC